CUCUUUCAAUUCAGCAGACGUGUCCUGAGCACUCACUGAGGCAAGGCUGAAGAAUGCACCCGGGGUCCCCAAACCAGUUCUGCUGCCAGAAGGCUUUCUCCAAGGUGACUGAAUUUCUGGAACUGACAGAUGGAGCCUGAGGGACCUUGGUAAUACUGUGUCAGCUCCCGUGGCCAGUCAGGGAGAGCAGAGUCUUCAGGGCUGUAUCUCCGCACCCUGCCCACCAUCUUCCCUCUGACGCAGACCAAGCCUGCAGACCAGUGAGAGGAGAAGAAAUGAAGUCAGCUGACCCACAGUUGGCACUGCCAGGACUGGAUGCUGCUGGCUGUUGGCCAGGAUCUGAUCCACUCCUUUGAGAGUGUCAGGAGCUGUGGAAGGUAUGGGGUGGGGGGCGGGGUUCCUCCCAAGGCAAAGUUCCUGUGGAGGUCAGAUGAGACUGAGCUUGAGAACUGAGUUAUGAAAAAAACCUCAAGGAACAUCCUUCACCUGCCCUCUAUGGCUCCUUAGCUUCUUGAGGUUCUGCUGCUCAGAGCCUAGUGUGAUAAAUAACCUCUUUCUCUUUA
rnacentral:lncRNA from 10 species